UACGUAGGGGGCAAGCGUUGUCCGGAUUUAUUGGGCGUAAAGAGCGUGUAGGCGGCCUGAAAGGUCAGCUGUGAAAACUCGAGGCUCAACCUCGAGACGUCGGUUGAAACCAUCUGGCUAGAGUCCGGAAGAGGAGAGUGGAAUUCCCGGUGUAGCGGUGAAAUGCGCAGAUAUCGGGAGGAACACCAGUGGCGAAGGCGGCUCUCUGGGCCCUACCUGACGCUGAGACGCGAAAGCGUGGGGAGCGAACCGG
rnacentral:rRNA from 1 species